rnacentral:rRNA from 1 species
AACGAACGCUGGCGGCAUGCCUAACACAUGCAAGUCGAACGCUAUCUUGUAUAGAGUGGCGCACGGGUGAGUAACGCGUGGGAACCUACCUUUCUCUGCGGGACAACGGCUGGAAACGGCCGCUAAUACCGCAUACGCCCUACGGGGGAAAGGUCAGCCGGAGAAAGAGGGGCCCGCGUUAGAUUAGCUAGUUGGUGGGGUAAUGGCCUACCAAGGCGACGAUCUAUAGCUGGUCUGAGAGGAUGAUCAGCCACACUGGGACUGAGACACGGCCCAGACUCCUACGGGAGGCAGCAGUGGGGAAUAUUGGACAAUGGGGGCAACCCUGAUCCAGCAAUGCCGCGUGUGUGAUGAAGGCCCUAGGGUUGUAAAGCACUUUCACUGGUGAAGAUGAUGACGGUAACCAGAGAAGAAGCCCCGGCUAACUUCG